rnacentral:tRNA from 1 species
GGGGUUAUAGCUCAGUGGUAGAGCACAUGCUUAUUAUGUAUGAGGCUUCAUGUUCAAUCCCC